rnacentral:tRNA from 1 species
GGGGUUGUGGCUCAGCGGUAGAGCACUUGCCUAGCACAUGCAAGGCCCUGGGUUCAAUCCUCAGCACCA